UAUUACGAGUAUUCAUCUCUGGAUCAGAUAAUGAAUGAAACGCAUCUAAGAAAUUCAGAGGUUUACACUGAAAUAAAAUUCGUGGAAAAAAUGCUGCAACGAAGACGACAUUUGGAGGCAGCCUGUCUGCAGUAUAGAGAUAUGGUUAACGAACACACCACGCCAAAAAUGAAGUCUGUAGAUCCAAAAUCUAUUGAGUAUCCUGUAUUAACUGGAAAAGGUAAACCUUUAAAACUUAAAAAUUAAGUAAAACAUAAAAAGUCGUCAUUGAUCUUACAAUUAGAAUUUUUUUUAAUAACUAACAAAUUUGAAAAUAUAUAUUGAUAUAGAAUCAUAUAGAGUAUACAGAAAACGUCAGAGAUUGGUCUUUAAAGUAUACGUUCUACCAUCAGAGAUGGGCAUCUUUACAGUAUACACCCUACCAUUAGAGAUGGGCAUCUUUACAGUAUACACCCUACCAUUAGAGAUGGGCAUCUUUACAGUAUACGCCCUACCAUUAGAGAUUGGGAUCUUUACAGUAUACGCCCUACCAUUAGAGAUUGACAUAUUUACAGUAUAGACCCUACCAUUAGAGAAUGACAUCUUUACAGUAUACGCCCUACCAUUAGAGAUUGACAUCUUUACAGUAUACACCAUACCAUUAGAGGUUGACAUCUUUACAGUAUACACCAUACCAUUAGAGAUUGACAUCUUUACAGUAUACACCAUACCAUUAGAGGUUGCAGGAUCUUUACAGUAUACGCCCUACCAUUAGAGAUUGACAUAUUUACAGUAUAGACCCUACCAUUAGAGAUUGGCAUCUUUACAUUAUACACUCUACCAUUAGAGGUUGGGAUCUUUACAGUAUACGCCCUACCAUUAGAGAUGGGCAUCUUUACAGUAUAGACCCUACCAUUAGAGAUUGGGAUCUUUACAGUAUACAGUACACCCUACCAUUAGAGAUGGGCAUCUUUACAGUAUAGACCCUACCAUUAGAGAUUGACAUCUUUACAGUAUACACCCUACCAUUAGAGGUUGGCAUGUUUACAGUAUACACCCUAUCAUUAGAGAUUGGCAUCUUUACAGUAAACACCCUAAGAUUGGCAUUUUACAGUAUACACCCUACCAUUAGAGAUGGGCAUCUUUACAGUAUACACCCUACCAUUAGAGAUGGGCAUCUUUACAGCUUAUAGUAUACACCUUACCGUUAGAGAUGGGCAUCUUUACAGUAUACACCCUACCAUUAGAGAUGGGUAUCUUUACAUUAUACACCCUACCAUCAGAGAUGGGCAUCUUUACAGUAUACACCCUACCACCCUACCAUUACAGAUGGGCAUCUUUAACGUGAACAAGCGAAAUAUUUCACAACGAACGAAAUUUUUCUUGAACAAGGAAUCGUUCAGAAAAAUAAACGAACGAUGCAAGACAAACGAAUUGGUUCGUUCAGGUAACUAAAUAAACGAAUGCUUUUUCUUUAGGAACGAAUAAAUAACCAAAUAAAAAUCGUUGACGAUCGUUCAAAUUUUUCGACUUUUUAAACAACCUUGAAAAAACGAUAGUUUUUUUUUAAUUAAUUAAGGAUUUUUAAAAAUAAACUUUUUUAAUUUGUUUUAAAAUAUUUUUAAAUAAAACGUUCAAACCUUUCAUGGGGCCAUGCGAGAUGCCACGAAAAAUCGUGUUCAAUCGGUUUCAAGUUUUGACACUUAUAAUUCCAAACUUAGUUAACGAGAAUUGUGAAUGUCUAAUAUGGAUGUUUGAUAUAUUAAAAUUCCGACACUACCUUUAUUCAAAGUCAAAGUUUUUUAAAAGCCAAUUUUAUUUCUUCUCCUUGCAUGUGCCUGACACAUCACACCAAAAGGUUUGCGUGUCAGAAAUUUUGUAUACAAUGCAUGGAACUUAUUUUUAACAAAAAACUACCUGCACUUGUUUUUGAAAAUUUAUAAUCACGGUUGAUUUAUCGCUUAUACAUGUUUUGCAAUGUUUCCAAUAGAACGGAAACUAUUGAUAACAUUAAUCUUGUGAUAAAGUAUCGGAACAGCUACAGAUAAACCCAGAACUGGGAAGUAUCGAAAAAUGUCGUCUUGACAAUUUUUUAUUGGGUUUUACACUUUUAUACCUAAAUUUCAGUAAUUGUAAAAACCUCAGAAUAUGUAUAAUAUAGAAUAACAGGUGGCAGCAUUUGGUUUGGGAAGUGUUGGACUGUGGGGGUUAUGCAGUACAAUACAUAAAUGUCCAGAUGUUCAGUAAUCUUUGGGGGGAAUUUUGAAGAUUCACUAUCCAAACUUUCUCUUGUUAUCUUUUUAUCAUUACUUCAAUUAAUCAAACACGUAUUUUCAAAACUGUUUCAAAUAGUUUUCUUCCUUUCAAAAUUUGAAAAAGAAAACCAA